UACGUAGGGACCAAGCGUUGUUCGGAUUUACUGGGCGUAAAGGGCGCGUAGGCGGCAUGACAAGUCACUUGUGAAAUCUCCGGGCUUAACUCGGAACGGCCAAGUGAUACUGUCGCGCUAGAGUGCAGAAGGGGCAAUCGGAAUUCUUGGUGUAGCGGUGAAAUGCGUAGAUAUCAAGAGGAACACCUGAGGUGAAGACGGGUUGCUGGGCUGACACUGACGCUGAGGCGCGAAAGCUAGGGUAGCAAACGGG
rnacentral:rRNA from 2 species